rnacentral:rRNA from 1 species
UACGUAGGGGGCAAGCGUUGUCCGGAUUUAUUGGGCGUAAAGAGCGUGUAGGCGGCCAGGUAGGUCAGCUGUGAAAACUCGAGGCUCAACCUCGAGACGUCGGUUGAAACCAUCUGGCUAGAGUCCGGAAGAGGAGAGUGGAAUUCCUGGUGUAGCGGUGAAAUGCGCAGAUAUCAGGAAGAACACCCGUGGCGAAGGCGGCUCUCUGGGACGGUACUGACGCUGAGACGCGAAAGCCAGGGGAGCGAACGGG